GAAACACCCCUAUGGAGGACUUGCUUCAGUGGGGCUUUGGUGCUCACUGAGUCUGCCCCUUGAGUGUGUCACU
rnacentral:pre_miRNA from 1 species